rnacentral:rRNA from 1 species
UACAGAGGUCUCAAGCGUUGUUCGGAUUCAUUGGGCGUAAAGAGCUCGUAGGCGGUUUGUUGCGUCGGCUGUGAAAUCCCGAGGCUCAACCUCGGGUCUGCAGUCGAUACGAGCAAACUAGAGUGUUGCAGGGGAGACUGGAAUUCCUGGUGUAGCGGUGAAAUGCGCAGAUAUCAGGAGGAACACCGGUGGCGAAGGCGGGUCUCUGGGCAACAACUGACGCUGAGGAGCGAAAGCGUGGGGAGCGAACAGG